rnacentral:rRNA from 1 species
GACGAACGCUGGCGGCGUGCUUAACACCUGCAAGUCGAACGGAGUGGCGAACGGGUGAGUAACCCGUCGGUGAUAUGCCUUGCAAUUCGGGAUACGGUUGGGAAACUUGGUCUACUACCCGAUCGUGCAAGAUGAGAGCGCGGACGAUCAGCUUGUGGGUGGGGUAAUGACCUCCCAAGUCGUCGACGUGUAGCCGGCCUGAGAGUGUGUACGGACACAUUGGGACUGAGAUACGUCCCAGACUCGUACGGGAGGCAGCAGUGGGGAAUAUUGCACAAUGGGCGGAAGUCUGAUGCAGCGACGCCGCGGUGGGGAUGAAGGCCGUCGGGUUGUAAACUCCUGUCGACAGGUACGCGGUACCUGUAUAAGAAGCACCGGCUAACUACGUGCCAGCAGCCGCGGUAAUAC